rnacentral:rRNA from 1 species
GCCUAAUACAUGCAAGUCGAACGCAAUCUUUUAACAAUGAGUGCUUGCACUCAGCGUUUUAAGUGCGAGUGGCGAACGGGUGAGUAACACGUGGGCAAUCUGCCCAAAAGUGGGGGAUAACACUUGGAAACAGGUGCUAAUACCGCAUCAACCGGCUGACCGCAUGGUCGGCCGGGCAAAGACGGCGUCAGCUGUCGCUUUUGGAUGAGCCCGCGGCGUAUUAACUAGUUGGUAAGGUAACGGCUUACCAAGGUGAUGAUACGUAGCCGAACUGAGAGGUUGAUCGGCCACAUUGGGACUGAGACACGGCCCAAACUCCUACGGGAGGCAGCAGUAGGGAAUCUUCCACAAUGGACGCAAGUCUGAUGGAGCAACGCCGCGUGUAUGAAGAAGGUCUUCGGAUCGUAAAAUACUGUUGUCAGAGAAGAACACGUGAUAGAGUAACUGCUAUGACGCUGACGGUAUCUGACCAGCAAGUCACGGCUAACUACGUG